ACUCCUACGGGAGGCAGCAGUGGGGAAUAUUGCACAAUGGGCGCAAGCCUGAUGCAGCCAUGCCGCGUGUAUGAAGAAGGCCUUCGGGUUGUAAAGUACUUUCUAGCAGUGAGGAAGGUGGUAGUGUUAAUAGCACUAUCAUUUGACGUUAGCUGCAGAAGAAGCACCGGCUAACUCCGUGCCAGCAGCCGCGGUAAUACGGAGGGUGCGAGCGUUAAUCGGAAUUACUGGGCGUAAAGACGCAUGCAGGUGGUUUGUUAAGUCAGAUGUGAAAGACCCGGGGCGUCAACCUCGGAAUUAGCAUUUAGAACUAGGCAGACUAGAGUAACUGUAGAGGGGGGUAGAAUUUCAGGUAGUAGCGGUGAAAUUCGUAGAUA
rnacentral:rRNA from 1 species